CAAGCUCUAAGUGUUCAACUUCUUCUGCUUCUUCAACGUAACUUCAAGUCUGACUUUUGGAAUGGCGAAACUGAUGGAUUUUAACUUAGUGCUCAUGGCUGCAGUGCUUUUUUCCGUACUGUAUCAUUGGACGACAACUGAAGCGGAGGAUCUCUAUGUUAACACGACCAUUCUCGAUAGUGCAAUCGCUAAAGGAGCAGUAUGCUUGGAUGGAAGUGCACCUGCAUACCACUUUUAUCCAGGAACUGGCUCUGGAGUUCAUAGUUGGCUCAUUCACCUUCAUGUUACUUAAUUAGGCAUGCACAAAUUAUAAUUUUUUUUUUUAAUUUAAAUUUUGGCUGAUCUUCAACUCUGAGUUUCCAGGGUGGAGGGUGGUGUGAAACCACUUCCGACAGCAAAUAUCGUGCACACACGGACUUAUCUUCGAAUAAUGCACCAAUUGUAGCUCAUUUUAGUGGAGUCCUAAGCAAUGAUCCUCAACUAAAUCCAGAUUUUUACAAUUGGAACCUAGUCAAGAUCAGAUAUUGUGAUGGGUCUUCAUAUACUGGCGAUAUUGAAGAAGUUGAUCCAGUGUCAAAAAUCUUUUCAUUAAUCGUGUUAGAAUUCUUUGUCGAUGUAACUUUCUAACUAGAAAUGUCAACAAAUUUCAGGAUACAAACCUACAUUAUAGAGGAGCAAGAAUUUUUGAGGCAAUCAUGGAGGAAUUACUAUACAGUAAAGGGAUGAUAUAUGCUCAAAAUGUCCGUCUCAAUUAAAAUCAUAGUCCUCUUAUUUGUUAA